GAUGAACGCUGGCGGUCUGCUUAACACAUGCAAGUCGAACGAACUCUUCGGAGUGAGUGGCGGACGGGUGAGUAACGCGUAGGAAUCUACCUAGUAGUGGGGGACAACAGUUGGAAACGACUGCUAAUACCGCAUACGCCUACGGGGAAGGCAGGGAGUCUUCGGACCUUGCGCUAUUAGAUGAGCCUGCGUCGGAUUAGCUGGUUGGUGGGGUAAUGGCCUACCAAGGCGACGAUCCGUAGCUGGUCUGAGAGGAUGAUCAGCCACACUGGGACUGAGACACGGCCCAGACUCCUACGGGAGGCAGCAGUGGGGAUAUUGCACAAUAGGGCGAAAGCCUGAUGCAGCCAUGCCGCGUGUGUGAAGAAGGCUCUAGGGUUGU
rnacentral:rRNA from 1 species